UAGUACAAAAAUCCCUAAGACUUGGAAGGAAGG
rnacentral:piRNA from 1 species